UAUGGCCAAAUCAUGCUAGAAACACCAAUUCUUGUUUGAUCACCAAAGUUAAGCUGUGUCAGGCCUGGGCAGUACUUAUAUGAGGGACCACUUCGGAACAUCGGGUACUGUAAG